GGCAGUUUGGUGCUAGUUAUCAGGGCUUAUUCAAAGCUCCUAGAAGGGUUGGUACCUUCAGUCGAUAGGGAGAAGCUAUUAGUGUGAUCCUUCAAGGAUCACCUCUGAGACCUCUCGCACUGCCAUUGAGGGACCUCUUAAGAUAUGGGGCCUACUUCAGCAUGCCUAGUGCUUAAAAGAAGUUUAUGGGUCCCACCACCUUCUCCAAGUGACUGGGG
rnacentral:lncRNA from 1 species